rnacentral:rRNA from 1 species
UAUGCACGCUGGCGGCGUGCCUAAUACAUGCAAGUCGAGCGAACGGACGAGAAGCUUGCUUCUCUGAUGUUAGCGGCGGACGGGUGAGUAACACGUGGAUAACCUACCUAUAAGACUGGGAUAACUUCGGGAAACCGGAGCUAAUACCGGAUAAUAUUUUGAACCGCAUGGUUCAAAAGUGAAAGACGGUCUUGCUGUCACUUAUAGAUGGAUCCGCGCUGCAUUAGCUAGUUGGUAAGGUAACGGCUUACCAAGGCAACGAUGCAUAGCCGACCUGAGAGGGUGAUCGGCCACACUGGAACUGAGACACGGUCCAGACUCCUACGGGAGGCAGCAGUAGGGAAUCUUCCGCAAUGGGCGAAAGCCUGACGGAGCAACGCCGCGUGAGUGAUGAAGGUCUUCUGAUCGUAAAACUCUGUUAUUAGGGAAGAACAUAUGUGUAAGUAACUGUGCACAUCUUGACGGUACCUAAUCAGAAAGCCACGGCUAACUACGUG